rnacentral:rRNA from 1 species
GGAUUAGAUACCUGGUAGUCCACGCCCUAAACGAUGCACACUAGGUCGAGGAGGUUUUGACGCCAUCUCGGCCGAAGUUAAAACAUUAAGUGUGCCGCCUGGGGAGUACGGUCGCAAGGCUAAAACUCAAAGGAAUUGACGGGAGCUCACACAAGCGGUGGAGCAUGUGGCUUAAUUCGAAGCAACGCGAAGAACCUUAUCCAGGGUUUGACAUGUAUGGAUUAACCCCGUGAAAGCGGGGCCACACUCUUUGAGUGGAACAUACACAGGUGCUGCAUGGCUGUCGUCAGCUCGUGUCG